UGGGCCGGACAGCCGCGGAUGGGUACCGAAAGGUCCCAGAUGAGGAAAGUCCGGGCUCCAUAGGGCAAGGAUAACAGGUAACGCCUGCCGGGGGUGACCCUAGGACAAGUGCAACAGAGAGAUACCGCGGAAGCUUCUUCGAAGCUUCCGCAAGGGUGAAAAGGUGCGGUAAGAGCGCACCCAGCCCAUGGCAACAUGGGUUUUAUGAUGUAAACUCUAUCCGGAGCAACACCGUGUGUGGGACAAUAGGCUUGCCCGGCCGUCCCCAAGAGGUGGCUUGACCCCGUGAGCGAUUGCGGGGCUAGAUAGAUGGCUGUCAAGACAGAACCCGGCUUAUAGGCCCAGUCG
rnacentral:RNase_P_RNA from 1 species